rnacentral:rRNA from 1 species
UACAGAGGGUGCGAGCGUUGUCCGAAAUCACUGGGCGUAAAGGGCGCGUAGGUGGUGGCUUAAGCGUGCGGUGAAAGCUCGGGGCUCAACUCCGAGUCGGCCGUGCGAACUGGGCUCACUGGAGCAUAGUAGAGGCAGGUGGAAUUCCGGGUGUAGCGGUGGAAUGCGUAGAGAUCCGGAAGAACACCGGUGGCGAAGGCGGCCUGCUGGGCUAUGGCUGACACUGAGGCGCGACAGCGAGGGGAGCAAACAGG